GCUGCCCUCGCCUCCCCCAUUGUUCCCACUGUCUUUUUGCCUUUGUUAUUUGCACUCGCAUUGUGUUGUUUGUCUCUGAAGCCGCCUCUUGACCAGCAAAGGGAUUUCACCUCGUCCUUGAGAGCCAGCCAGAGCCGGGGACAGAGAGGAGAGAGAGGGAGAGAGGGACACGCGAGCGCGCGCGUGCGCGCGUGCACACACACACACACACACACACACCCAGACACACGCACANNNNNNNNNNNNNNNNNNNNNNNNNNACACACACACACACACACACACACACCAGAGUGAAAAAGGCGAGCCACCAAAACCCAUCUCCAGUCUCCUCCCGGCGGCCCCCCCGGCCCGCCACUGUGCCACUUUGCAUCCCACGCCGGAGGAGACAUUAAGGAGCUCGGGUAAGGUGCGUGCACCGCACGGUUUAACUUUGUUGUUCGUCCCGAUGUCGUGGUGGCAGCCCUCCAAGGCGCAGAGCUCCCCGCCGCCGCUCAGCCCCGCUCCCGGCUCCAGCUGGAGAGCCGCGGGGGAGGGAGGGAACGAGAGGGAGGGGGUCCGCCGCCGGAGUUCCCCAAGUACGCAGGGAGGGGAACCCGGCCGGGGGCCGAGCCCAGAGACUGGUAGCCGCCCUGACAUCUUCGUGGGUCGGCUGUCCGGGGGGACCUUGGAGUGCGGGCUUGGAGCUAGACCAGGAACUGGGGCCUUUUAAUCAGUUUCUGGUACAAAGACACACUGCAAGAGGGUUAUUAGACAUCUUGGACAAGCCUCCCACAUGUGGCAGGUACGUUUCUUGUUGAUGUGUACGUGAAAUGUAAUGUUUUUUAUUCUUUACAGCUGAACUAAA
rnacentral:lncRNA from 1 species